rnacentral:lncRNA from 12 species
GUUUAGCAGUUUUGGUUUCCUCAGGAGGCAGCAAUGAUGUUUUAGUAAAGAAUGAUCUGCCAUUAAUUAUUAACUGUGAGUGAGAAGUGUUGGUGGCAUUUCUGCUCAGCCACAGCAGAGACUCUUUAACCCACCCUCAUCAUCAUCCAUGCUUUGCUGCUGUCCCAGACACAAUGACUAUUUUAAUAUAUUUUAUUGUUUUGCUCUUUUCUGGAACGACUUUUAGCCAAGAGAAAACGUAUGUCCUUACAGCACCAAAGAUCUUCCGAGCUGGGGCCUCUGAGAAAGUCGUAGUUCAAGCUUUUGGUUACGAGGAGGAAUUUCCAGUCAGUAUUGCCCUAAAAAGUUUCCCAGAUAAGCUCGCUGUGUAUUCGUCUGGUCGGAUUUCCUUAACUCCAGCCAACAAAUUCCAAGAUGCUGUAACUUUAACAGUUCAACCAACAGAUUUACCAAGAACAGAUAAUUCAGACAAGUAUUUGUAUUUGGAAGCUGUUUCUCCACAUUUUACAAGAUUUAAAAAGAUUCCUGUAUCCUAUGAGAAUGGGUUUCUUUUUAUUCAUACAGACAAACCAGUUUAUACUCCUGAUCAGUCAGUGAAAGUCAGAGUUUACUCUUUGAAUGAAGAACUGCAGCCAGCUCGGAGAGAGACUGUCCUAACUUUUGUGGUGAGUUGUGAUUGAAUUUAAUAUUAAUAUUUUGUAGCUCUAAUAACAAAUAAAGGUAGGC